GGGGUGCUCGAGUGGCGAACGGGUGAGUAACACGUGAGUAACCUGCCCUUGACCUUGGGAUAACUUCAGGAAACUGGGGCUAAUACCGGAUAGGAGCUCCUGCUGCAUGGUGGGGGUUGGAAAGUUUCGGCGGUUGGGGAUGGACUCGCGGCUUAUCAGCUUGUUGGUGGGGUAGUGGCUUACCAAGGCUUUGACGGGUAGCCGGCCUGAGAGGGUGACCGGCCACAUUGGGACUGAGAUACGGCCCAG
rnacentral:rRNA from 1 species